rnacentral:rRNA from 1 species
GACGAACGCUGGCGGCGUGCUUAACACAUGCAAGUCGAACGGAAAGGCCCUGCUUUUUUGGGUUGCUCGAGUGGCGAACGGGUGAGUAACACGUGAGUAACCUGCCCUUGACUUUGGGAUAACUUCAGGAAACUGGGGCUAAUACCGGAUAGGAGCUCCUGAUGUACGGUGGGGUUUGGAAAGUUUUGGUGGGGGGGGUUGGAGUAUGGGUUUAUCAGUUUGUUGGUGGGGUAGUGUGUUAGCAAGGCUUUGACGGGUAGCAGGUCUGAGAGGGUGCCCGGCAACAUUGGGACUGAGAUACGGCCCAGACUCGUAACAUAAACACUAGUCAUUAAUAUUACACAAUCACAGAAAGCCUGAUCCAUCAACUCCGGGUGCGGGAUGACGGCGUUCGGGUUGUGAACCUGUUUCACCUCUAACUAGACUUUAGUAACUCUCAUCUAUAAAUAAACACCGGCUAACUACAUG